rnacentral:rRNA from 1 species
GAUGAACGCUGGCGGCGUGCCUAAUACAUGCAAGUCGAGCGAACGGACGAGAAGCUUGCUUUUCUGAUGUUAGCGGCGGACGGGUGAGUAACACGUGGAUAACCUACCUAUAAGACUGGGAUAACUUCGGGAAACCGGAGCUAAUACCGGAUCAUAUUUUGAACCGCAUGGUUCAAAAGUUAAAGACGGUCUUGCUGUCACUUAUAGCUGGAUCCGCGCUGCAUUAGCUAGUUGGUAAGGUAACGGCUUACCAAGGCAACGAUGCAUAGCCGACCUGAGAGGGUGAUCGGCCACACUGGAACUGAGACACGGUCCAGACUCCUACGGGAGGCAGCAGUAGGGAAUCUUCCGCAAUGGGCGAAAGCCUGACGGAGCAACGCCGCGUGAGUGAUGAAGGUCUUCGGAUCGUAAAACUCUGUUAUUAGGGAAGAAAAGAUGUGUAAGUAACUGUGCACAUCUUGACGGUACCUAAUCAGAAAGCCACGGCUAACUACGUG